AUGCUCGAGCCCACGGGCCCAACUCCUGAGAUCCCAUUUGGAAGCUGCUGAUCACCAGUUUCAAGUGUUUCUGUUUAUUGGGAGACUGCCUUCCUCUGGCACUGGCAGUGACCAAUUAUUAUUUUAGAGAGACUGUUAACGGCCUGACCAUCACCUGACGAAUAUCAGGAAAGUGGCCUGACAUUCCUGGUACACGGAGCGCCUUCUUUUCGUUUAGAACAUUGGUGGCUCCACAUUAGAAGCAUCCUAUGUAGCUGUUCUGCUUGCAGCUGCCCAAGUCUGCCUGGGCCUCCUGCAUGAGGUCAUGAGUCUUAAUAAAGCCACUGACCCACACAUUUGGAAUCGUACUGACUUUUCACAACUAACAGCCAACACAUUGCCAAGAAGCAAUUCAAUUGUUGAGGAUAUCAUAUCAUGCCAGGGAAAGAGAGAUGGAAUUCAGAAAGCCUGGGAUAUUGCAGUUCAGAUAAAUGGCACUUGGUCAACGGAAAUGUCCUAAGGGCACUGCAGCUGCAGCUGGAGAAUGAAGAAGACAUAAAAUUAGGGCUUUUGUCACUGUCGCUUGAUUUCAUUAAAGGG
rnacentral:lncRNA from 1 species